rnacentral:rRNA from 1 species
GACGAACGCUGGCGGCGUGCCUAAUACAUGCAAGUAGAACGCACAGUUUAUACCGUAGCUUGCUACACCAUAGACUGUGAGUUGCGAACGGGUGAGUAACGCGUAGGUAACCUGCCUGGUAGCGGGGGAUAACUAUUGGAAACGAUAGCUAAUACCGCAUAAUAUUAAUUAUUGCAUGAUAAUUAAUUGAAAGGUGCAAUUGCACCACUACCAGAUGGACCUGCGUUGUAUUAGCUAGUAGGUGAGGUAACGGCUCACCUAGGCGACGAUACAUAGCCGACCUGAGAGGGUGAUCGGCCACACUGGGACUGAGACACGGCCCAGACUCCUACGGGAGGCAGCAGUAGGGAAUCUUCGGCAAUGGACGAAAGUCUGACCGAGCAACGCCGCGUGAGUGAAGAAGGGUGUCGGAUCGUAAAGAUCUGUUGUAAGAGAAGAACGGGUGUGAGAGUGGAAAGUUCACACUGUGACGGUAUCUUACCAGAAAGGGACGGCUAACUACGUG